UCAUACUUUGAGUCACACACCAUAGAAGUUAGGACCGAUUAUCCCCUGCGAAUAGGGGUGUAAAUGAACCAAACCGUUCGUGAGCUAUUCGAGGUGCGAUUCAAUAAAAGCUCGAUCGAGCUCGACUCGAUUUCUAAACGAGCCAAGCUCAAGCUUAAUUUUUAGGCUCGUUUGGUAAACGAGCCAAGCUUGAGCUCCAUAGUAUUCGGCUCGUUAAGGCUCGUGAGCUCGACUCGUUUCUAAGUUCAUGAGCAGGCUCGCAAAUAGGCUCGUGAACAGUCU
rnacentral:lncRNA from 1 species